rnacentral:rRNA from 1 species
UGAGGAAUCUUCCACAAUGGGCGAAAGCCUGAUGGAGCAACGCCGCGUGCAGGAUGAAGGCCUUCGGGUUGUAAACUGCUUUUAUAAGUGAGGAAUAUGACGGUAACUUAUGAAUAAGGAUCGGCUAACUACGUGCCAGCAGCCGCGGUCAUACGUAGGAUCCGAGCGUUAUCCGGAGUGACUGGGCGUAAAGAGUUGCGUAGGUGGUUUAUUAAGCGAAUAGUGAAAUCUGGUGGCUCAACCAUACAGGCUAUUAUUCGAACUGAUAAACUCGAGAGUGGUAGAGGUUACUGGAAUUUCUAGUGUAGGAGUGAAAUCCGUAGAUAUUAGAAGGAACACCAAUGGCGUAGGCAGGUAACUGGACCAUUUCUGACACUAAGGCACGAAAGCGUGGGGAGCGAACC